rnacentral:rRNA from 1 species
CCUACGGUCGGCUGCAGUGGGGGAUAUUGCACAAUGGGGGAAACUCUGAUGCAGCGAUGCCGCGUGUGGGAAGACGGUCCUCUGGAUUGUAAACCACUGUCCUCAGGGACGAAGAUGACGGUACCUGGGGAGGACGCUCCGGCAAACUACGUGCCAGCAGCCGCGGUAAUACGUAGGGAGCGAGCGGUGUCCGGAAUUACUGGGUGUAAAGGGAGCGUAGGCGGGGAUGAAAGUUGGGGGUCAAAACUACCGGCUCAACUGGUAGUCGCACUCAAAACUGCAGGUCUUGAGUGAAGUAGAGGCAGGCGGAAUUCCUAGUGUAGCGGUGAAAUGCGUAGAUAUUAGGAGGAACACCAGUGGCGAAGGCGGCCAGCUGGGCUGUUACUGACGCUGAGGCUCGAAAGUGUGGGGAGCAAACAGGAUUAGAUACCCCUGUAGUC